rnacentral:misc_RNA from 1 species
UUAAGUUCAGCGGGUAGUCUCACCCGAUUUGAGGUCAAGGUUGGUGGGUCAAGUCGACCAUUUGUCUUCUAUGAGACGGUUAGAAGCAGGAUCUAUAGCAAACAGUGCGUAACCCAAGACGUAGAAGCAUCUUAUCACGUCAAGGAUCAGCAAAGCAGACCCCACUAAUUCAUUUAAGAGGAGCUGGCUUCAACAAGCAA